CACAGGGAGUGACACGUGGGGGUUGC
rnacentral:piRNA from 1 species